AGUUCAGAGAGGUAGUUAUUUAAAGAUGGAGGAAGGGAGGGGCUUGGCUAGCAUUCAGAAAGUGGACCAUGUAGGGGUCAAAGGCUGAGGCUAAAACCGGUCCAGUCUGCUCCUGGCCUUAUGGGACCUGGAAGGUUGCUGCAUCCCAGAUGAAGAUGUUCCUCCAAGGACGAGAAAUUUUGUCCACGGAAAACAUAUCUGCCUGUGGCCGCCCAGCAGGGUGAAACUCACAGAUCACAAUGAUGUUUCCAACAGGGUCAUCAUUGAGGUGGUCCCCUGUUGUGGAGAGCGGUAGAGCUGAGGAGGCAUUCGCCAUAACAAGAUGGCGCCUACUUCCGCUGUGGACUCCUGGCAAACAACUGUUUGCGCAUGUGCGUAGAA